AUCAAGAGUUCCUGUGUGCCUUUAAAACGGUACAGUUGUUUUGUUACUCUCAUUACAGGGACCUGAAGGAAAAGAAGGAUUCGCUGGGUCUCAUGGUUUACCGGGUACCCCGGGUUUGCAAGGGCCUCCGGGAGAGCCAGGGGCUCCAGGGUGCAACGGAACAGAUGGAGACGAUGGAGAUCUUGGUACCGACGGGGCCCGUGGCUUUGAUGGACUUCCAGGUUCACCUGGUCCACGUGGACCUAAGGGUGACUCUCCGGUAUCAGUGACAGCGAUAGCAGGGCAACAAGGACCACCCGGGAGGCAAGGAGAGCCGGGAGUUUCAGGUGUCCGUGGAGAGCAAGGGCCACAAGGGGACCCUGGACUGCGGGGCGAUGCUGUGAGUAAAGCUUUUUUAGUAGCCUUGCACAGAGCAUGUAUCACCCUGAGAGAACUAAUUAUGUUUUCCUUAAUAUAACUAUCCGCUAUUCUUUACAAACAGGGGUUUCCUGGUCAUUCAGGGGCUCCCGGGCCAAAG
rnacentral:lncRNA from 1 species